rnacentral:rRNA from 1 species
CGCAGCCGCGGUAAUUCCAGCUCCAAUAGCGUAUAUUAAAGUUGUUGCAGUUAAAAAGCUCGUAGUUGAAUUUCGGGAUCAAUAUAUCGGUCGUGCCUCCGGUAUGCACUGGUAUUAUUGAUUUCUACCUUCUGACGAAUCAUGAUGUCAUUAAUUUGGUGUCAUGGGGAAUCAGGACUGUUACUUUGAGAAAAUUAGAGUGUUUAAAGCAGGCACACGCUUGAAUACAUUAGCAUGGAAUAAUGAAAUAGGACGUUUGACCCUAUUUUGUUGGUUUCUAGGAUCGACGUAAUGAUUAAUAGGGAUAGUUGGGGGCAUUAGUAUUCAAUUGUCAGAGGUGAAAUUCUUGGAUUUAUUGAAGACUAACUACUGCGAAAGCAUUUGCCAAGGAUGUUUUCAUUAAUCAAGAACGAAAGUUAGGGGAUCGAAGACGAUCAGAUACCGUCGUAGUCUUAACCAUAAACUAUGCCGACAGGGAUCGGAUGAUAGUUAAUUUUAAUGUACUCU